UAGGGAAUCUUCCACAAUGGGCGCAAGCCUGAUGGAGCAACACCGCGUGAGUGAAGAAGGGUUUCGGCUCGUAAAGCUCUGUUGUUAAAGAAGAACACGUAUGAGAGCAACUGUUCAUACGUUGACGGUAUUUAACCAGAAAGUCACGGCUAACUACGUGCCAGCAGCCGCGGUAAUACGUAGGUCCCGAGCGUUGUCCGGAUUUAUUGGGCGUAAAGCGAGCGCAGGCGGUUAGAUAAGUCUGAAGUGAAAGGCAGUGGCUCAACCAUUGUAGGCUUUGGAAACUGUUUAACUUGAGUGCAGAAGGGGAGAGUGGAAUUCCAUGUGUAGCGGUGAAAUGCGUAGAUAUAUGGAGGAACACCGGUGGCGAAAGCGGCUCUCUGGUCUGUAACUGACGCUGAGGCUCGAAAGCGUGGGGAGCGAACAGGAUUAGAUACCCUGGUAGUCCACGCCGUAAACGAUGAGUGCUAGGUGUUAGGUCCUUUCCGGGACUUAGUGCCGCAGCUAACGCAUUAAGCACUCCGCCUGGGGAGUACGACCGCAAGGUU
rnacentral:rRNA from 1 species